AGUUGUGGUCUAGUGGGAAUAACAAACAAGCUUUGGAGUCAGAUGGGGUGGUGUCUGAAUUCCACCUCUGCUGCUAACUAUGUGACCCAGGCCCAGAGACGGAAAGUACAAAGACUAGUAAAAUACAUCCUUGCCCUUAAGGAGCUAAGUACCCAAAACCUGUAAUCCAUCUUGAGUCACCAGAGUACGGUUGCUCAGAAACAGCAGUGGUGCGGUGGAAAGGGCAUCAACCCUGCGAUCCGGACAAGUCACUCCAUCCCUCUGAUCAUGCGUGCCCACCUACCACAUGAGGAUAUCACUUCAUAGACUUGCUGGAAGGGUUCAUUGUGUUAGCCUGUUCCCUGAGCUCUCUUCGUGAUCAAGAAGACUGAUCAGAUAAAUCAAGAGACUUGCCCAAAAUUACCUAGGAAAUCUGUAGCAGCAGCAGAACCAAACUCCGGUCCUUGCUAAAUCUAGAUACCAGGCUAGCUUUUCUAUGGACCCAGAAUUAACCCAUACAAAUGUACAAGCUUUUCCAGACCAGCUGGGGUGAGAUGAAUGAAAAUGGCAGCAACAUCAAUA
rnacentral:lncRNA from 1 species